GGAUGUAGCUCAGUGGUAAAGCACCUGCCUAACAUGUGCAAGGCCUGGGUUCAAUUUCCAGUAUCCC
rnacentral:tRNA from 1 species